GAAGAACGUUGAAAAAAAUGAAAAUGAUUCUCGUGUAAAAUUCCCCAACAAAAGAAACAUGAGCUUCGCAUCGUCUAUUAGAGAGGUUAAUAAAUGAAAAACCGUAAAAUCAAAAGUGAAUGAUAAAAAAAACUUGAAGCCUUGAGAGAAUCAGCAAAACGAAAUAAAGAUAGAAAUAUUAUUAAAAGAUACAACCAAUUAAGAAAUUAGCGUGAACCACUUUGGGAAUCAUUAGAAGAUUUGCAAGAUUAUGAUUUCAUGGGAACCCAAGACACGGUUUUACUGAGUCCGAGCUUAUCUAAUACCCUUGAAACUAAUAGCAGUAAUAUCAGUGAAUAUUUAAGAAAUUCGUGUGAACCACUUCGGGAAUCAGAAGAAGAUUUAUUUAUUUUUAUUUAUUUUUAACUAAAAACGAUUUUAAUUUUAUGCUUAUUUGGAGCUUCUACUUCUGGUGCAUAUCAAAGGCAGCAGUCUCCUCAAUCUGGACCAUCAGACGAAGAAGAUCACUCAGAUAUUGAGUUUUCUGAAAUACCACUUGAGGAUCUUCAAGAAUUAAUUGCACUACCAGGUCAAAAAGUUGCGAGACAAAUGGUGGAAAUUGAGAAUCGUUUCAAGAAGAAGAAACUGACGAUUUGAAUGCACCAAGAAAUCAACAAAUUGUGAGACCACUUGCGAAUCCUGAGGCAUUGUCAGGAGCGAGAAGAAAUGGAAAUGGAGAACCGUUUCAAGAAGUAGCUGACGAUUGAAUAAAAAUUAAUUAAAUAAAUUAGUUAAUAGAAACAAAACAAAAUUAAAUAAAAAUU